CCUACGGGUGGCUGCAGUGAGGAAUAUUGGUCAAUGGGCGGGAGCCUGAACCAGCCAAGUCGCGUGAGGGAAGACGGUCCUAUGGAUUGUAAACCUCUUUAGGCGGGGAGCAAGGCCGGGCACGCGUGCCCGGAGGGAGAGGACCCGCAGAAGAAGCAGCGGCUAACUCCGUGCCAGCAGCUGCGGUAAUACGGGGGAUGCGAGGGUGAGCCGGAUUUAUUGGGUGUAAGGGGUGCGUAGGGGGAUUGUUAAGUCAGCGGUAAAAUGUCCGGGCUCAACCCGGGCCGGCCGUUGAAACUGGGGAUCUUGAGUGGGCGAGAAGUAUGCGGAAUGCGUGGUGUAGCGGUGAAAUGCAUAGAUAUCACGCAGAACUCCGAUUGCGAAGGCAGCAUACCGGCGCCCGACUGACGCUGAAGCACGAAAGCGUGGGGAUCGAACAGGAUUAGAUACCCGUGUAGUC
rnacentral:rRNA from 1 species